GAUGAACGCUGGCGGCGUGCCUAAUACAUGCAAGUCGAGCGAACGGACGAGAAGCUUGCUUCUCUGAUGUUAGCGGCGGACGGGUGAGUAACACGUGGAUAACCUACCUAUAAGACUGGGAUAACUUCGGGAAACCGGAGCUAAUACCGGAUGAUAUUUUGAACCGCAUGGUUCAAUAGUUAAAGACGGUCUUGCUGUCACUUAUAGAUGUAUCCGCGCUGCAUUAGCUAGUUGGUAAGGUAACGGCUUACCAAGGCAACGAUGCAUAGCCGACCUGAGAGGGUGAUCGGCCACACUGGAACUGAGACACGGUCCAGACUCCUACGGGAGGCAGCAGUAGGGAAUCUUCCGCAAUGGGCGAAAGCCUGACGGAGCAACGCCGCGUGAGUGAUGAAGGGCUUCGGAUCGUAAAACUCUGUUAUUAGGGAAGAACAAAUGUGUAAGUAACUAUGCACAUCUUGACGGUACCUAAUCAGAAAGCCACGGCUAACUACGUG
rnacentral:rRNA from 1 species